GUAGUCAUAUGCUUGUCUCAAAGAUUAAGCCAUGCAUGUCUAAGUAUAAGCAACUAUACAGUGAAACUGCGAAUGGCUCAUUAAAUCAGUUAUCGUUUAUUUGAUAGUACCUUUUACAUGGAUAACCGUGGUAAUUCUAGAGCUAAUACAUGCUAAAAACCUCAACUUCGGAAGGGGUGUAUUUAUUAGAUUAAAAACCAAUGCCCUUCGGGGCUCCUUGGUGAUUCAUAAUAACUAAACGAAUCGCAUGGCCUUGCGCCGGCGAUGGUUCAUUCAAAUUUCUGCCCUAUCAACUUUCGAUGGUAAUAUAGUGGAUUACCAUGGUGUCUACGGGUAACGGAGGAUUAGGGUUCGAUCCCGGAGAGAGGGCCUGAGAAACGGCCCUCACAUCCAAGGAAGGCAGCAGGCGCGCAAAUUACCCAAUCCCAAAACGGGGAGGUAGUGACAAUACAUACUGAUACAGGGCUCUUUUGGGUCUUGUAAUUGGAAUGAGUACAAUUUAAAUCCCUUAACCAGGAACAAUUGGAGGGCAAGUCUGGUGCCAGCAGCCGCGGUAAUUCCAGCUCCAAUAGCGUAUAUUAAAAUUGUUGCAGUUAAAAAGCUCGUAGUUGAACCUUGGGUUUGGCUGUCCGGUCCGCCUCACCGCGUGCACUGGUUCGGCCGAACCUUUCCUUCUGGGGAACCGCAUGUCCUUCACUGGAUGUGUUGGGGAACCAGGACUUUUACUUUGAAAAAAUUAGAGUGUUCAAAGCAGGCCUAUGCUCGAAUACAUUAGCAUGGAAUAAUAGAAUAGGACGUGUGGUUCUAUUUUGUUGGUUUCUAGGACCGCCGUAAUGAUUAAUAGGGAUAGUCGGGGGCAUCAGUAUUCAAUUGUCAGAGGUGAAAUUCUUGGAUUUAUUGAAGACUAACUACUGCGAAAGCAUUUGCCAAGGAUGUUUUCAUUAAUCAGUGAACGAAAGUUAGGGGAUCGAAGACGAUCAGAUACCGUCGUAGUCUUAACCAUAAACUAUGUCGACUAGGGAUCGGACGGUGUUAUUAUUUUGACCCGUUCGGCACCUUACGAGAAAUCAAAGUGUGAUUCUGGGGGGAGUAUGGUCGCAAGGCUGAAACUUAAAGAAAUUGACGGAAAGGCACCACCAGGCGUGGAACCUGCGGCUUAAUUUGACUCAACACGGGGAAACUCACCAGGUCCAGACACAGUAAGGAUUGACAGAUUGAGAGCUCUUUCUUGAUUUUGUGGGUGGUGGUGCAUGGCCGUUCUUAGUUGGUGGAGUGAUUUGUCUGCUUAAUUGCGAUAACGAACGAGACCUUAACCUGCUAAAUAGCCAGGCUCGCUUUGGCGAGUCGCCGGCUUCUUAGAGGGACUAUCGGCUCAAGCCGAUGGAAGUUUGAGGCAAUAACAGGUCUGUGAUGC
rnacentral:rRNA from 1 species